rnacentral:rRNA from 1 species
UGGGGAAUCUUGGACAAUGGGCGCAAGCCUGAUCCAGCAAUGCCGCGUGCGUGAAGAAGGCCUUCGGGUUGUAAAGCGCUUUUGUCAGGGAGCAAGAAGGGGUGGCUAAUAUCCACCCUGGAUGAGAGUACCUGAAGAAUAAGGACCGGCUAACUACGUGCCAGCAGCCGCGGUAAUACGUAGGGUCCAAGCGUUAAUCGGAAUUACUGGGCGUAAAGCGUGCGCAGGUGGUUCGUUAAGCGCGAUGUGAAAUCCCCGGGCUCAACCUGGGAAUUGCAUUGCGAACUGGCGAACUAGAGUACGGGAGAGGGGGUGGAAUUCCACGUGUAGCAGUGAAAUGCGUAGAGAUG